rnacentral:rRNA from 1 species
AAAGGUGUGCACUGGCAUUUGCUCUCUUCCUUCUGGUAACUUCCCUGCUCCUUUACUGAAGCAGGAAACAGCACCAGAUCAUUUACCUUGAAAAAAUUAGAGUGUUUAAAGCAGGCCGUCGCGCUUGAAUAGAUUAGCAUGGGAUAAUAGAAUAGGAUUGCCAGCCUAUUUUGUUGGUUUCUAAGUUGGCAAUAAUGAUUAAUAGAGACAAUUGGGGGUAUUUAUAUUAGGCUGCUAGAGGUGAAAUUCUUGGAUUAGCCAAAGAUAAACUACUGCGAAAGCAUUUACCAAGGAUGUUUUCAUUGAUCAAGAACGAAAGUUAGGGGAUCGAAGACGAUCAGAUACCGUCGUAGUCUUAACCAUAAACUAUGCGGACCAGGGAUUGGAGAAUGUUACAUGUAUGACGUCUUCAGCACCUUGUGAGAAAUCACAAGUCUUUGCGUUCUGGGGGGAGUAUGGUCGCAAGGCUGAAACUUAAAGAAAUUGAUGGAAAAACAAACAAGGAGUGGAGCCUGCGGCUUAAUUUGACUCAACACGGGGAAACUUGCCCGGUCAAGACACAGGAAUGAUUGACAGAUUGAGAGCUCUUUCUUGAUUCUGUGGGUGGUGGUGCAUGGUCGUUCUUAGUUGGUGGAGUGAUUUGUCUGGUCAAUUCCGAUAACGAACGAGACCUCAGCUUGCUAAAUAGCAGUGCAAAUCGUCUGUAUGGGUGAAGAUGCUGUGCUGGUGCAAGCUUUG